rnacentral:rRNA from 1 species
AUGGAGCACGCGCAGGACGAGCUCAGCCUCGAGCUCACCCUGGCCGCCGCUGUCGUGGCUCCAGCUCCCGGCUUCUUCCUAUGCGUCUACUGCCACCGCAAGUUCCGCAGCUCGCAGGCCCUCGGCGGCCACCAGAACGCCCACAAGCAAGAACGCGCCGCUAAGCGCCUCCGUGAGACUGCGCUCGCCACCGCGCAUGCUUGGAAUCCGGGGAGGGCUGCCGGCGCUGUUUGGGUGUCCGAGGAGUCAGCAGCAGCAGGUGGCAUGGCGCACAAGAGCAGCAGGAUCUCGUCGGAGCGCGACCACGAGGUGGACUUGUCCCUCCGGCUAUAUAUAGUCGGUCGGCCAAUCCAUAGAUCUCUGCUAGUAUCCUUUCUCCGCACCAUUCUGUUUCCUGUGCUAGAGUUUAUGAUUGGAUUAAUGACUAGAGUAAUUUGCAAGGGAGGGAGGAUGCAAAGCUGGGAAGUGACCAUGUGCAAAGCUGCUAGAGCGAGUCACGUCCAAAAUAAUUUUGGGCACAAAGAAGUUGGGCGUUGUGGAUUCCUAGGCUGGGAGAUGGAUCUUGAUUGUGGUGGCUUUAGUGUCAAUUGCUCCUUUUCUUAG